rnacentral:rRNA from 1 species
UACGUAGGGUGCGAGCGUUGUCCGGAAUUAUUGGGCGUAAAGGGCUCGUAGGCGGUCUGUCACGUCGAAAGUGAAAACUCAGGGCUUAACCCCGUGCGCUGCUUCCGAUACGGGCAGACUAGAGGUAUGCAGGGGAGAAUGGAAUUCCUGGUGUAGCGGUGAAAUGCGCAGAUAUCAGGAGGAACACCAGUGGCGAAGGCGGUUCUCUGGGCCUGUACUGACGCUGAGGAGCGAAAGCGUGGGGAGCGAACAGG